rnacentral:piRNA from 1 species
UUGGAGUUUAUCCCUAGGGAAGGUGGCAU